GGGGUCGGUCGGAGGUCGCCGGGGGCUCAGGGCCCUCGGAGGAAAGUCCGAGCUCCACAGGGCAGGGUGCCGGGUAACACCCGGAGGGGGAAACCCCUGGAAAGUGCCACAGAAAAUAGACCGCCCUGUACCCAUUUUCCAGGGUACGGGGUAAGGGUGAAAAGGUGGGGUAAGAGCCCACCGCCUCUCCUGGUAACAGGAGAGGGCAUGGCAAACCCCACCCGGAGAAAGGCCAUGUAGGGGAGCGUUUGAGGGUGGCCCGCCCGAUGCUCCCGGGUAGGCCGCUUGAGCGGUUGGGUAACCAACCGCCUAGAGGAAUGACCUCCACCCGCUUAAAGCGGGUACAGAACUCGGCUUAUGACCGGCCCCCAUC
rnacentral:RNase_P_RNA from 1 species